rnacentral:rRNA from 1 species
AGUGUGUUUCGACACACUAUCAUUAACUGAAUCCAUAGGUUAAUGAGGCGAACCGGGGGAACUGAAACAUCUAAGUACCCCGAGGAAAAGAAAUCAACCGAGAUUCCCCCAGUAGCGGCGAGCGAACGGGGAGGAGCCCAGAGCCUGAAUCAGUGUGUGUGUUAGUGGAAGCGUCUGGAAAGGCGCGCGAUACAGGGUGACAGCCCCGUACACAAAAAUGCACAUAUUGUGAGCUCGAUGAGUAGGGCGGGACACGUGGUAUCCUGUCUGAAUAUGGGGGGACCAUCCUCCAAGGCUAAAUACUCCUGACUGACCGAUAGUGAACCAGUACCGUGAGGGAAAGGCGAAAAGAACCCCGGCGAGGGGAGUGAAAAAGAACCUGAAACCGUGUACGUACAAGCAGUGGGAGCCUCUUAAUGGGGUGACUGCGUACCUUUUGUAUAAUGGGUCAGCGACUUAUAUUCUGUAGCAAGGUUAACCGAAUAGGGGAGCCGAAGGGAAACCGAGUCUUAACUGGGCGUUAAGUUGCAGGGUAUAGACCCGAAACCCGGUGAUCUAGCCAUGGGCAGGUUGAAGGUUGGGUAACACUAACUGGAGGACCGAACCGACUAAUGUUGAAAAAUUAGCGGAUGACUUGUGGCUGGGGGUGAAAGGCCAAUCAAACCGGGAGAUAGCUGGUUCUCCCCGAAAGCUAUUUAGGUAGCGCCUCGUGAAUUCAUCUCCGGGGGUAGAGCACUGUUUCGGCAAGGGGGUCAUCCCGACUUACCAACCCGAUGCAAACUGCGAAUACCGGAGAAUGUUAUCACGGGAGACACACGGCGGGUGCUAACGUCCGUCGUGAAGAGGGAAACAACCCAGACCGCCAGCUAAGGUCCCAAAGUCAUGGUUAAGUGGGAAACGAUGUGGGAAGGCCCAGACAGCCAGGAUGUUGGCUUAGAAGCAGCCAUCAUUUAAAGAAAGCGUAAUAGCUCACUGGUCGAGUCGGCCUGCGCGGAAGAUGUAACGGGGCUAAACCAUGCACCGAAGCUGCGGCAGCGACACUAUGUGUUGUUGGGUAGGGGAGCG